ACAUUUUUUAAUUCAAUACACAGUUGGGGCAUAGACUCAAUUUGAUCACUCAGUAACUGAGACGUAAAUUCCCAGAGUUUAACCAAGAAAACUACAGGUACAGGCUGCAGAAACCAUUCCAGUUGCACUUGAUUUUUAAGCAUUUUUUUGCACAAAGAUUGCUGCUGAUGCCUUCCCUUGCCACUAAGCUUUCCACAUUCUCUUGCCAGGCAUUUGAAUAGCACAUCUGCUGCCUUUCAAUCCACUCUUCCACUUCAUGUUCCAGAACCUGCCGCCUUAUUCUUCCACAUCCACUCCUGAGCAGCCUGAAGCCCCUGGAAGCGUGUAGGAUCAUUGACUGAA
rnacentral:misc_RNA from 1 species